rnacentral:rRNA from 1 species
CAGUCGCCGCGGGAAUACGUAGGGUGCAAGCGUUAAUCGGAAUUACUGGGCGUAAAGCGUGCGCAGGCGGUUAUAUAAGUCAGAUGUGAAAUCCCCGGGCUCAACCCGGGAACUGCAUUUGAGACUGUAUGGCUAGAGUGUGUCAGAGGGGGGUAGAAUUCCACGUGUAGCAGUGAAAUGCGUAGAUAUGUGGAGGAAUACCGAUGGCAAAGGCAGCCCCCUGGGAUAACACUGACGCUCAUGCACGAAAGCGUGGGGAGCAAACAGGAUUAGAGACCCGCGUAGUCCCUGUCUCUUAUAC